CCCUUGGUAGCUCAGUUGGAAGAGCGUGGGACUGUAAUUGGAAAUUGGAAAUGUAAUCAUUACGUAAUCCCGAGGUCACUGGUUCGAUCCCUGUCCGAGGGA